GCCGAUGUAGCUCAGUCGGUAGAGCAACGGUUUCGUAAACCGUGGGUCGCAGGUUCGAUUCCUGUCAUCGGCA
rnacentral:tRNA from 1 species